rnacentral:rRNA from 1 species
CCUACGGGAGGCAGCAGUGAGGAAUAUUGGUCAAUGGACGAGAGUCUGAACCAGCCAAGUAGCGUGAAGGAUGACUGCCCUAUGGGUUGUAAACUUCUUUUAUAUGGGAAUAAAAUGUUCCACGUGUGGGAUUUUGUAUGUACCAUAUGAAUAAGGAUCGGCUAACUCCGUGCCAGCAGCCGCGGUAAUACGGAGGAUCCGAGCGUUAUCCGGAUUUAUUGGGUUUAAAGGGCGCGUAGGUGGAUUGUUAAGUCAGUUGUGAAAGUUUGCGGCUCAACCGUAAAAUUGCAGUUGAAACUGGCAGUCUUGAGUACAGUAGAGGUGGGCGGAAUGCGUGGUGUAGCGGUGAAAUGCUUAGAUAGCACGAAGAACUCCGAUUGCGAAGGCAGUUCACUGGACUGCAACUGACACUGAGGCUCGAAAGUGUGGGUAUCAAACAGGAUUAGAUACCCUGGUAGUC